rnacentral:miRNA from 1 species
UCUGAGGCCUGCCUCUCCCCA